rnacentral:rRNA from 1 species
CACGUAGGGCGCAAGCGUUGUCCGGAAUUAUUGGGCGUAAAGAGCUCGUAGGUGGUCUGUUGCGUCCGCUGUGAAAACUCGGGGCUUAACCCCGAGCCUGCAGUGGAUACGGGCAGACUAGAGGUAGGUAGGGGAGAAUGGAAUUCCCGGUGUAGCGGUGAAAUGCGCAGAUAUCAGGAGGAACACCGGUGGCGAAGGCGGAUCUCUGGGCCGUAACUGACGCUGAGGCACGAAAGCGUGGGUAGCAAACAGG